UCGAGGAUCUUCGGCAAUGAGCGCAAGCUUGACCGAGCGACGCCGCGUGUGCGAUGAAGGCCUUCGGGUUGUAAAGCACUGUCGAGGGGGAGGAAAGCCGCAAGGUCUGACCUAUCCCUGGAGGAAGGACGGGCUAAGUUCGUGCCAGCAGCCGCGGUAAGACGAACCGUCCUAACGUUGUUCGGAAUCACUGGGCUUAAAGGGCGCGUAGGCGGGUGACCGAGUCAGGGUGAAAUCUUUCGGCUUAACCGGAAAAGUGCCUCUGAUACUGGUCGUCUCGAGGGAGGUAGGGGUCUGUGGAACUUCUGGUGGAGCGGUGAAAUGCGUUGAUAUCAGAAGGAACGCCGGUGGCGAAAGCGACGGACUGGACCUCUUCUGACGCUGAGGCGCGAAAGCCAGGGGAGCGAACGGGAUUAGAUACCCCGGUAGUCCUGGCCCUAAACGAUGGGUACUAGAUAGUGGGCUUGUCAUGGGUUCACUGUCGAAGCAAAAGUGGUAAGUA
rnacentral:rRNA from 1 species